rnacentral:rRNA from 1 species
UACGUAGGUGGCGAGCGUUAUCCGGAUUUACUGGGUGUAAAGGGCGUGUAGGCGGUUUUGUAAGUCGGAUGUGAAAUUCCCAGGCUUAACCUGGGCGCUGCACCCGAAACUACAAAACUUGAGUACUGGAGAGGAUAGUGGAAUUCCUAGUGUAGCGGUAAAAUGCGUAGAUAUUAGGAGGAACAUCAGUGGCGAAGGCGACUAUCUGGACAGUAACUGACGCUGAGGCGCGAAAGCGUGGGGAGCAAACAGG